GUAGGCAGGAGUGAGCCUCGACAUCCAUGUCUGUACAAUGGGCUCCUGACUCCCUGGCCAUAGAUGAUUGGAGCUGAGGGCUAGAAAGCCAUGGAGGAAGAUUUUAAACCCAGAUCUGCAGAGAACCAAAGCUAAUGAUGAUGUUUUCACUACUCCACAUUGUGAUACCAAAACAAACAAACAAACAAAAACUGUGACUGAUCUGAUAUCCUGUAGGUAAAUUCUGAUUAACAGGCUUUUGACCUUGGCUAUGUUAAAUGUCUGUCAUAAUAACAUCAAAUAUUUUAUAUAUUCAGGUACAGGGAGGAUGACCUGUUAGACCCAAUCUAUUAAGGAUAUUUCUGCAUUUUCUAAAUUAAUCAUUGCUACAUCUAGUAGGAGCAGAGGACAAUAAUUUUUCACACCUUAUUCAUAAGGGUGGAAUACCCAAAAGCCAGAGAAGCCAUGUCUUGGACCACCGGGGUGACCCAGCCUGCAUGACACAGCGCUGGGCAGGGUACCCGCAAGUCACUCAAAUCACCUUGGCCAGCAGUUCACCUUGCAGCCCUCCCCUGGGAAUGGUGUGACCCGGCAGGGAAGAGCUGCAUUAGGCAGCCCCCUCGAGGCCCUUUGGCACAGUCUGCUGGAGAGCUGAGCACUCAGCCAAAGUCUGCAGGAAGCUUCCCUUGGUAAGAUUUGUUGGAGCUACUUUCUGCUUCUAUUUUCUAUCCCCAUUCCUGUUUUAGUAUCUGUUUUUGUUUCCAAAUUAUGACACGGCAUGAAAUCUGCCUUCUCUGUUCUCCUGUGGAACCAGGAGGUGUAUGAGUAAGUAGGUAUUUAAUACGUCAAAAGAGCAGGUCCUUCUCCUCACUUCUUAUCUAUGGCUUUAGGAGUUCAACACCCUUCUUUUGUCUUUUGUCCCUCAGCCCAAAUCACACCCAAAAGAUGCUCGAUCCUCUCUAGAUAUGGUGACUUAAAAAAAUAUGGACACUGGAUACAAAUAGAACAGAUUCAACAACUAACAUUGACUAAGUGCUUAUGCUCUGCCGAGUGCCUCAUAAUAGACACCUUAUCGCAUUGAAUUCUCACAGCAAGCCUGGGACAGUGUUGUAAUCAUAGUUCUUAUUUUGCAGAUAAGAAACAGACUCAAAAAGACACUGUAACUUAUCCAAGGCCACGCGUAUGGCCCGUAAAUGGCACGGCAGGGCUGGCACCCUUGGUCUGAGUUGUGUGUGUCUCGAAUGCCACACUGAACAGAAGGCCAGCUUUCCAGAUCGCCUGUGAUGGAACAGAAGGACUUUCCUCAGCCUGACCUCCAGGCUGACAGAGACCAGAAGGUAUCUCUCAUAAUAUGACAGAGCUCUGUGUUUGGAAAGCAUUGCGUUAGUCUAGGAUAAGGUAGACUCUGCGACAGAAAUAAAUCCCAAAGUGCUAGUGAUUUAGUGUAAUAAAAGUUCAUUUCUUGCUCAUGUAGAAUCCAUUGUGGGAGCCCACGCUGGUUGGAGACAGUGUGUGUGUGUGUGUGUGUGUGUGUAGAUGCUUCAGUUGACACCAUGAAUGGGAACUCAGGUGCCAGACCUCUGAGGGAAGAAGCCUCCAGAUGAAUCCUGCUCCUAACAUUGUAUUUACUUAUUUAUUUAUUGGCCACACGCACAGCAUGCACAAGUUCCUGGGCCAGGGAUUGAACCCAUGCCACAGCUGUAACUAGAGCCAUAGCAAUGACAACACCAGAUCCUUAACUCACUGACUGCUCUUAACAUUUUGUCACCUCCAGCUAGUCACAUCUUCUUCGCUAAAGCCCAGACGGCAUGGAGAGAGAGGUAAGUGGUCCUUGUCUGAAGUCUUCUCCAUGGCUCCACACCUGAACCUGUUAAAGUGAUUGAGGUUUGUGGGGAGGCUGUUUCUGCACUGAGAGAGAACCUCGGCAUCCACACUGGAUUUGCAUACGCUGCAGGGUUUACCUUCCCAUCACUCAACAAAUAUUUACUGAGCACAUACUAGGAACCAGAUGCUACUCUGGACAUACAUCAGUGAACAGGUAAAGCCUCAUGUUCCAUAGGAAAAAUAGUUGCUGGUUUUUCCAAAUAAUCAUUUUAAGUAUGUUUUCCUAGGAACAAAAGUAAUAUUUGCUUAUUCUAUGAAAUUUGAGAAAUAUACAAAGUUUUUAGAAAAUAGAAAAAAAAAUCCAGCAGAAAAUGAUCAUCACCAUGCAGUAAUAAUGCGUGAUUACUCGCUUUUGUAUUAUCUUUUUUUUUUUUUUUUUUUGUCUUUUUUCUGUCUUUUUGUUGUUGUUGUUGUUGCUAUUUCUUGGGCCGCUCCCGCGGCACAUGGAGGUUCCCAGACUAGGGGUCAAAUCGGAGCUGUAGCCACCGGCCUACGCCAGAGCCACAGCAACGCAGGAUCCGAGCCGUUUCUGCAACCUACACCACAGCUCACAGCAACGCGGGAUCGUUAACCCACUGAGCAAGGGCAGGGACCGAACCCGCAACCUCAUGGUUCCUAGUCGGAUUCGUUAACCACUGCGCCACGACGGGAACUCCUCGCUUUUGUAUUAUCUUACACACACACACACACACACCCACACACAUGUAUAUGUGUGUGUCCAUUAUGUAUUCAAUUUUAUGUCAUUUUUUCCCGUUUAGAGUGCAUUGCAAACUCUUAAUCCCUAUUUGGGCUGCUUAUAACAAAAUACCUGAGCCAGGGUGACUUAUAAAUAACAGAAAUUUCUUUCUCACAGCUCUGGAAGCUGGGAAAUUCAAGGUCAGUAUACCUGCAGACUGACGGUCUGCUAAGAACACAGUUCCUGAUUCACAGAUGGCAUCUUUUUGUCGUGCCUUCACAUACGGGAAGGUGCAAGGGAGCUCUCUUGGGGCCUCUUUAUAAAGGCACUAAUCCCAUCCAUGAGAGCUCCACCCUCAUGACCUAAUCACCUCCCAAAGACCCUCACCUCCUAAUACCUUCACCUUGGGGGAUUAGGAUUUCAACUUUUGAAUUUUGAAGUGACACAAACCUUCAGACCGUAGCACAAACUUAUUCCCACAUCAUGAAAAUAUGAUAUUUAAUGGCUGCAUAUGGUUCCAUCCUGUAGCAAUACCAACUAUUUAUCCACGCCGCAACCAUUUCACAUUUCCGUUGAUUCCAGUGUUUCACUGUGAUAAGCAACGCCUUGAAGAACCAUCUUGUACAUGAGUCUUUGGCUUCAUCACCGAUUAGUUGUUUAGAAUAUAAUCAGAGAAGUGGGAUUACCGGUUCAAAGGGCAUGCAAAUGCUCAUGUUCUUGAUAAAUAUUGCCAGGUUGCUUUCCAGAGUGUUAGCACCAAUUUACAUUUUCACCUGUAUUUUGUGAGAUGCCUUCUCCUGCCAAUAGUCAGUAUUAGAGUGUUUCUAAUCUUUGCCAAUUUGUUACAUUAAGGAAUGGUAUUUCAUUUUAAGACUGGUUCACUUCCUAGGUUGCUCAGUAAUUAUUGGGAUUUGCUUAAACCUGAGUUUUAAUCCCAGGUCUGGCACCUUCUAACAAGAUACGUAACCUCUCUAAGCAUCAAUUUUCUUUCCAUCAAAUGUUGAUAGUUAUUCGGACUUUUUGGGAUACUGUGUGGAUUAAAUGUGUUCAGGUUUAUAACUGUUUUAACGUUCUGUUUAACGUUCUGCCUGUCACAGAACGAAUAAAUGGUAGUUAUUAUCAUGGACAUGACAAUUCAAAAAUUAUCAACACAUGAAUAGUUUCAGCCUUUUUUCUUCCCUCUGUGUUUUCAUGAAGAGUCUCAUUUUGCUCAACUGUAUUUCUUUCCCUUCUCCUCUGAAGGGGGGCUGCCUUUCUUUGGGGCUUUUGUGAAUUAGAAUUAGUAGGAAUGAGAGGGGAAAAAAGCACAAAGAGACACGCUGACCAGGGACAGACCACCCAAUACCCAGCGGCUAACAAUAAUGCACAUGGAUCUGGUAGUGGCUACAAGUAGCCCUGGUGGUGGCUGGGCUCAGCUGGGUGGUUCUGCUUUAGUCUGUGAGCUGACUGGGCUUAGCUCCAGGCUGUGAAGGGGUUCAGGUCUGCCCCACCUGUGCUUGACCUGGGGCCUGUAUGGAAUGAGGAGAAAAUAGCCCAGGGUGUGUUCUCAUGUGAGAUCACCAGAGAAACGAGGUCAUCAUGCCAAAACCCACAGGCAAAUUUAAGGCCUGUGCACCUGUUAUACCUGUUAGUAUCCUACUGGCCAAAGCAAGUCAUGUGGCCCAGGCCAACAUCAGCGGGCGGGAAGUCUCCUUCCCCACAAUAGGGGGAAGGGAGUGACUGUGUUCUGAACAAAUGAUCAUAACGAGGAGUUCCAGGAAAUUUCAGGAAGAGGGUGCUCGACUGUGUGGUGUAAGGAAACUGGGAGAAAAGAAAAGUGGUCACGAGACAUGUUGGAUAUGGGUGAGAUUUUGCAGAUCAGAAUCCUUUUAAUUUCUCAAAGUCUCUGGUCAGGAACUUGUAAAUUACCUUUUGUCUGUCUGGACUGGGCUUUAUCAAAUGGUACUUGCCCUCGGGACUGAGAGUGUGUGAUGGCUCGCCUGGUGCCACAUAGUGGAAACAAUUACCUUCAGAGCUUUUCCUCUUUGCAUGUCUUAGAACUUUCAAGCAUUUUCUGAUGGUUCUGUUUCUUUUUCUCCCGCUAGUGGAAGAGUAUGGAUAGUGACUCCCUAAUUGUAAUUACCAAGCGAGGCACAACAUCUCCACAGGAUGUGUGUCAGCCGCCCCAUUGCCAUCUCUUUGAGAAAAGAGACAUCAAGUUUGAGAAAACUUGGACUCUCCCUGAGGGCUGAGAAUGAGAGCAACCAACUGGGUCUCAAUCAUGGCUCAGAAGCUCCAAAGUCAAUCACAGAACCUUCCAAUGAAAUCAAAUUGAUAGCGAGCACAGGGCGUGACUCUGGUGAGAUAGAGCCAGAAGAGGUUUCCUGAGAGAACUGUGUCCUGCUAGCCGCCGUCAUUGUCUGUGUAAAAAGCUUCCCCUCGCCUCCCUGGAGACCGUUUACUUGGAACGUGACAGGUUCUCAAUGUCCUGGUCUCUGGGUUUGCUUAGUUCUGCAAACGGCUGCACAUCACAUGCAUAUCAUUACCCCACAUUCCCAGCAGGAUGAAGGGGCUUGUUAAUAGAUUCAUCCUGAAUUUUAAUUCUCACUUACUCUGAUGCUAAGUAGACCACCUAAACAUGGCUGUAUCAGCUCUGCUUCGUUCUCUAAAUGUUAUCUGUCUAUAACUUUACCCAAAACAUUUUUGCUUUGUUUCCAAGAAAGCAAUGUUUCUGACCUCUUUAAAAGAAAAAAUCCACGCCUUGGAGUUCCCAUCGUGGCUCAGUGGUUAACGAAUCCGACUAGGAACCAUGAGGUUGCAGGUUCGAUCCCUGGCCUUGCUCAGUGGGUUAAGGAUUUAGUAUUACCAUGAGCUGUGGUGUAGGUCGAAGAUGCGGCUUGGAUCUGGCAUUGCUGUGGCUGUGGCAUAGGGCAGUGUCUACAGCUCUGAUUAGACCCCUAGCCUGGGAACCUCCAUAUGCCACAGGUAUGGCCCUAGAAAAGGCAAAAAGACAAAAAAAAAAAAAAAAAAAAAA
rnacentral:lncRNA from 1 species